UAUAAUGUAACCAAUACAUAUGAACUCUAGUUUCAACCCUAAUCAGUAAACAACUGUCUUAUCUGCAAUAAAAAUCCUUACAGAUGAGUUCUUUCUAAAGAUAUGCAAGAUUUACCGACUUAAUUUUGAUUUACAGUACCUAUUUUAUGAUAACCAAUAAAAAGAUGAUACUGAUAUCUUUUCACAAAUUACACAAAAUCCAUCCUUCAACUUCAGUACACCAAAGAUGAAAUUCAAAAUAUGGUCACAAUAUUUUUUUUCAAUGCCAACAUAAUCCUUUUUACAUGGUAAUUAAGUUAAGAAAGACAACUAGAUAUAAAGUUAGCACAAACAAGCUAGAUA